rnacentral:rRNA from 1 species
AGAGUUUGAUCCUGGCUCAGAUUGAACGCUGGCGGCAUGCUUUACACAUGCAAGUCGAACGGUAACGCGGGGGCAACCCUGGCGACGAGUGGCGAACGGGUGAGUAAUACAUCGGAACGUGCCCAGUAGUGGGGGAUAGCUCGGCGAAAGCCGGAUUAAUACCGCAUACGACCUACGGGUGAAAGCGGGGGAUCGCAAGACCUCGCGCUAUUGGAGCGGCCGAUGGCAGAUUAGCUUGUUGGUGAGGUAAAAGCUCACCAAGGCGACGAUCUGUAGCUGGUCUGAGAGGACGACCAGCCACACUGGGACUGAGACACGGCCCAGACUCCUACGGGAGGCAGCAGUGGGGAAUUUUGGACAAUGGGCGCGAGCCUGAUCCAGCAAUGCCGCGUGUGUGAUGAAGGCCUUCGGGUUGUAAAGCACUUUUAGUGGGAACGAAACGGUCCGGGCUAAUACCCUGGACCACUGACGGUACCCGCAGAAUAAGCACCGGCUAACUACGUGCCAGCAGCCGCGGNAAUACGUAGGGUGCAAGCGUUAAUCGGAAUUACUGGGCGUAAAGCGUGCGCAGGCGGUUUUGUAAGACCGAUGUGAAAUCCCCGGGCUUAACCUGGGAACUGCAUUGGUGACUGCAAGGCUUGAGUGUGUCAGAGGGAGGUGGAAUUCCGCGUGUAACAGUGAAAUGCGCUAGAUAUGCGGGAGGAACACCGAUGGCCGAAAGGCAGCCUCCUGGGAUAACCACUGACGCUCAUGCACGAAAGCGUGGGGGA